UACGGAGGGGGCUAGCGUUGUUCGGAAUUACUGGGCGUAAAGCGCGCGUAGGCGGACCUGCAAGUCGGGGGUGAAAGCCCGAGGCUCAACCUCGGAACUGCCUUCGAUACUGCGGGGCUCGAGUCCGGGAGAGGUGAGUGGAAUUCCGAGUGUAGAGGUGAAAUUCGUAGAUAUUAGGAAGAACACCAGUGGCGAAGGCGGCUCACUGGCCCUGUACUGACGCUGAGGUGCGAAAGCGUGGGGAGCAAACAGG
rnacentral:rRNA from 1 species